AUCGUCGGCCAACGGCUUCAAAUGAACGCAAAACGUUGGAAAGCAAACAACCGCAAAAAAGCCAUCAGCUAAAAAUAAAACUGCAACUCCAGCGGUGUUUGGCCAUCUAGCCCAUAGAACAGUGCUCGCUAAUCGUGUGUCUAUAUGUAUUUGUGUAUCUCGUGUGUGAUUAAUCUCGCUGGGAGUCCGAAAUGAAAAGUUCAGAGGCAGAAAGUUCCGAAAGCGCAGCGUGAAACAGAUCUCGCCGGACGCCUUAACGCCGCCAUAAACACCAAAUAACGAAUUCUCGGCGACCUCCUCUGCAUUUGGCGUGGCCAGCAAACAAAUGUCGCAUGUCAAGGUCUUGUUAAAACGUGGAAAAUCCAUCCAUCCGUCCGCCCGAAGAGUCAACACGAGUGGCACGACUUUUUCAGCUGUCCCAAAAGCAAAGUUGCCCCCGAAAAAAAUAGCGUAGUCUGUGUGCUUGAGUGUGUGCGUGCCAUUGACAUUGACUUAUGCUUAAUAGGGGGACUCGCAGAGGGGGUAAGGGUAUCCACCCUUUGACGAAAAAACUUUGUUUUGUCGCUUUGCCAGCUCUGCUUUUGCCUCGUUUCUCUUCGCUUUCUGCCUUCCACGCACAUUUAUGGUUUGUUUUGCUCACACACAACCAAAGAACACAAGAAAGAGAGGGCCGUAGGCGGGAAGAAAGAGACAGAGGGAUAGAGAAUGAGAGAGAUGGAGCAGCUCAGUCGUCUGCGAUGAUAAACGCCUCCUUGCCUUUUUUGGCGGGUCGGUCCAUGAAUGAAAAAAUUGCCCCGAAUGACUGACUGCCAGACAGAUAGCUACAAAAUGCCCAUUUCGGGGGUUACCAGCGGGGGUUGCUGCGGUGGGCAGGGGGGCCAAGGGGGGCCGGAAAGCCGACAGCAAUAAACACCGAGCUACGACAAAAGUCUGAUGAGGCAGACAAUCAUGAAGUUCAUCAUGAGGCACGCGUUGAUGAAAAUGAAAAUGGUUUUCAUUUCGGGUUCGUUGCCGUUGCCGGUGCCGGCUUCUCUUCCAGCCUCAGUUUGCAUUCAGUGGGGCAGGUUAUUUAUGGCACUUCUCCCGAACGCCACACUGGGGUAAUCGAUUUUUAUUGGAUUAAUAUUGCCUUCCGCCUGACUUGUCACUCUUUUCUGCUCUUCGUUAUCUCUUUCGUAGGUUUUCACACUGAAGUAUGACGGGUCUGGACCAAGUGCUGGACAGCCGCCAGGAUAUAUGCACGGCAAAUGCCGGGAAUAAAGACACGUCUUAUGUGACAAGUGCAGGCUAAACGUCUGAGGUUAUCGCAAUCAUUUUCGAUUCUCUCCCCCCUCGGCUACUCGGUGGAAAAGCAACCACCGAAAAGGAAUAAAAGGACACAGGGCGACCGGAAGUGAGGAAAUCGCUUGUAAAAUCGGGCACACGAGUGCGAGCGAGACACGAGCGAACACGGCCCGAAAGGAAACGACAAUUACGAGGACAUGCCGGCUUCGCCUUUUGCUGUUUCUAUCCGUUCCUUUCAGUUGCGGCCGUGCAAUCGUCGGGUCAACAACGCGCCGUGUCCUGUCAGGAUCUCUAUCUGGAACUUUACCUUUAAAAUCACACAGCAGUCGCAGUAUCUAUAUCUGCAACUGCAGUCCUUUUUCGUGUCCUUUAUAAGCACUUGCGGAUGAUGAUGACUCUGUGCAACUUCGUAUACGUAUACUGAAUGUAUCCUGAGUGUAUCCUAUCCGGUAUACCUUCAGUAUACGUAACACGAGGAAACACAAGCAACGCGGGAUGUGAAACACUUGAAAAAAAUAUAUGACAUUGUGAUUUUA